GAUGAACGCUGGCGGCGUGCCUAACACAUGCAAGUCGAGCGAUUUACUUCGGUAAAGAGCGGCGGACGGGUGAGUAACGCGUGGGUAACCUGCCCUGUACACACGGAUAACAUACCGAAAGGUAUGCUAAUACGAGAUAAUAUGCUUUUAUCGCAUGGUAGAAGUAUCAAAGUUUUUGCGGUACAGGAUGGACCCGCGUCUGAUUAGCUAGUUGGUAAGGUAACGGCUUACCAAGGCGACGAUCAGUAGCCGACCUGAGAGGGUGAUCGGCCACAUUGGAACUGAGCCACGGUCCAAACUCCUACGGGAGGCAGCAGUGGGGAAUAUUGCACAAUGGGCGAAAGCCUGAUGCAGCAACGCCGCGUGAGCGAUGAAGGCCUUCGGGUCGUAAAGCUCUGUCCUCGAGGAAGAUAAUGACGGUACUUGAGGAGGAAGCCCCGGCUAACUACGUGCCAGCCGCCGCCGUAA
rnacentral:rRNA from 1 species